CCUAGGGUGGGGGACAACCCGGAGAAAUCUGGGCUAAUACCGCAUGAUGCCGUUCCUUCGCAUGGCGGAACGAUCAAAGAGGGCCUCUGCUUGCAAGCUCUCGCCCAGGGAGGAGGUCGCGACGUAUCAGUUUGUUGGUGGGGUAAUGGCCUACCAAGACUACGACGCGUAGCGGAUCUGAGAGGAUGAUCCGUCACAUUGGGACUGAGAUACGGCCCAG
rnacentral:rRNA from 1 species